GUCCCACAAGAGCCGUGUGGCGGUAAGACGCGGCAGCGCACGUUCUUCUCUGGCGGCCCCCUUCAGUACUUAUUCGCAGCUUCCGACCCACUCAAGCUCACUUCACUCAUUAUGGAAGAACAACCAAGUCACCGGUGACAAAAGUGUGAAACACAAGUACAGAAAAGAGGCAGAAAUAUCCUCUCUCUCUCUCUCUCUCUCUCUCUCUCUCUCUUCUAGAUUUCACGCGCAUUUCACAGAAAUCAAAGCUCAGAAAGACCUUAAAUUUCAGGGGAAAACGAUCUGCACGAAAGCCCUAAUCAGCUUGUGCUCUUGUUGAUUAGCUGAUAGCUUUGGAUACACUUUAUUUUUCUUUGUUUAAAGUGAAGAGAUUGGAGGAGGAGGAGGAGGAGGAGGAGGAUCAAUUCGUUGGAAUAAUCUGAUCGAACGGUGUGGUCGGCGUCUGUUGGAUCGCUGAGAAUGGAGGAGAAUCGGAAUCUGAGGGAGGAGGAGGCCGCGGUGGUGAAGGAGGAGGAGGAGGAUGCGGAGGAGGAUUCGACCGAGAGCAGCGAUGAUUGUACGUCGGAGAAUGAGGGGACGGAGGACUACCGGCGGGGAGGGUACCACGCGGUUCGAGUAGGGGACACCUUCAAGAGCGGCGCUUAUGUGGUGCAGUCCAAGCUCGGUUGGGGUCAUUUCUCUACUGUCUGGCUCGCUUGGGACACCCUCAAGUCCCGAUAUGUAGCUUUAAAAGUUCAAAAGAGUGCUCAGCAUUACACUGAGGCAGCCAUGGAUGAAAUAACUAUACUGCAGCAGAUAGCAGAGGGUGACCCAGAUGAUAAAAAGUGUGUAGUGAAGCUUUUGGAUCAUUUUAAGCAUUCAGGUCCAAAUGGACAACACAUUUGUAUGGUUUUUGAGUACCUGGGAGAUAAUCUUUUGACGCUUAUAAAGUAUACAGGUUAUCAUGGGAUGCCUAUGCAUAUGGUUAAACAGAUUUGCUUCCAUGUUUUGGUGGGUUUGGAUUACUUGCACAGACAACUCUCUAUCAUACAUACUGAUUUGAAGCCUGAAAAUAUUUUGCUAACUUCCACGAUAGACCCGUGUAAGGAUCCUAAAAAUUCUGGUACACCUCUUAUUCUUCCGAGUGGCAAGGAUAAGUCUUUGUUUGAGUCUGGGAUUGCAAAAGAGAUUAGGACUUCAAAUGGGGAUUUGACUAAGAAUCAGAAGAAAAAGAUUCGAAGAAAAGCUAAGCGAGCAGCUCAGGGUUGUGUGGGGAAGGAAGUUUCUGCAGAAACUGAGCAAAAUGCUGAAACAUCAGUGGAGCAUUCCUUGAAUACAAACUCAAAUGUGGGAUCUCUGGAAGGCCAGUCAAAUAGUUCUGGUGGUAUAAAUAGACUGGCAGAUGCCUGUGGACCAAAGAGUACUGGGCAGGGAAUUCAGGGUAGGAAGGGAAGUCGUUUGAGAAGGCAGCAGCUGUUAGCAUCUGUUGAACUUAAGUGCAAAUUGGUUGAUUUUGGGAACGCCUGUUGGACUUAUAAACAGUUCACAAAUGAUAUACAGACAAGGCAAUAUAGAUGUCCAGAGGUUAUCCUUGGAUCUAAAUAUUCUACUUCAGCGGAUCUUUGGUCCUUUGCUUGCAUUUGUUUUGAGCUGGCAACUGGUGAUGUUCUAUUUGAUCCUCACAGUGGUGACAACUUUGAUAGGGAUGAGGAUCACUUGGCAUUGAUGAUGGAGCUUCUUGGAAUGAUGCCACGAAAGAUUGCCUUAGGUGGCCGUUAUUCUCGGGGCUUCUUCAAUAGACAUGGAGACUUACGGCACAUCCGUCGGUUGCGUUUCUGGCCCCUGAAUAAGGUACUUAUAGAGAAGUAUGAUUUCAACGAGCAUGAUGCCAAUGACAUGGCCGACUUCCUGGUUCCCAUCCUUGAUUUUGUCCCUGAGAAACGGCCUACAGCAGCGCAAUGCCUUCUUCAUCCUUGGAUCGAUUCUGGUCCUCGCCUUUUAGAGCCUUCAAUGCCUUCUGUUCAAACACAAUCUGUGGAUUCCGAGAAGGAAAAGAAGGAAAAAGAUGGGAGGGAGGCCAUGGAGGUUGGAAUGGGUAAUAUUGUCAUCAAUGUUGAUAGUAAGGCUGUGAAAGAUGCUCAUUCUAAUGAUAAACAUUCAAAGACAGCUAUAAAUACUUCAUCUGGAUAGGAUUCUGGCCAGUGUUUCGGCUUGCAACCUCCCUAUUAUCCUUCUUUAUGUGUAGUUUUCUUCAAAAGCAGCUUGUAUUCCUACAAAGCAUGAUUUUCUCCCGGUUUGAUAUUUCCCAUCAUUUGGUUGAUCGCUAUGGUUGGGCAUGGUUAGGCAGCAGUUUGUAUUUAUGUGGGUCAGAGCUUGAAAGGAGCAAUUACUUAAAUUUUUUGUGCUCAUUACCGAAGAAUCCGUUGAUAAAGCCUCAUGGAUGGAGUGCACCGUCCAUAUGUAACAGGUUGUCCAUUUCCCAUUUCCUCAUCAUAGAUGCUUCCGGAAAGGGGUUCAGACCUAGAUAAGCCUCACUCUCGUGAAGCUUCAGGUGAUGGAGAUUCGAUUCUACAUUUCUACCUCAUUGUAGAACAGAUUCGCAUGAUGUGUGCAAUGAUACACCUAACCAAAGAUUCCAGAAUGAUGAUUUGGUGGUAACAUUUCAGACUCGGGCUUGAAAUCUCUAAAUUUUAAAUGCUAACAGCUUUUCAUCUUCUAGCAUUGCUUUCUGGCGAAGAUCAUGACAACCAUUUCCUCUUUUGACCUCCCAAUUUCAUACAUGUUUAAAUGGAUGCUUUUGUGAUCCUCGAUCACCAUCCCUAUCAUCACAAUUCCUUCUUCACCAUAGAAGAGAGAGGGGAAGAAAUAGGUAAUAGAUUUACUAGCCUGGGGAUAAGCUACAGUUAAUUGGGAAUCGGCAAUUAGAAGUAGGGGCAUUAGAAAGGGAUUGUUGGAGGAACAUCCCACUUUGAUUCAUGCAUUUGGUUUAUUGAAUUUAGUUGGGUAAAAUUUGAAAUCUAAAAUUUAAAGGACCUUUGUCAUUCAGAAAUGAAAUUUCUUAUACGCAGAUUGACAUUUUUUUGAAUAUCAUGUGGGAUCUGUUUCAUUUCAGUUGUACAAUUUUGGAUGAUAAGAAUACAACAAUCUUGAAUAAAAAUGAGUUCUUCCUUCA